rnacentral:rRNA from 1 species
GUGGGGAAUAUUGGGCAAUGGAGGCAACUCUGACCCAGCAAUGCCGCGUGAGCGAUGAAGGUAGUUUUAUUGUAAAGCUCUUUUCUCAGGAACGAACAAAUGACGGUACCUGAGGAAUAAGCCCCGGCUAACUACGUGCCAGCAGCCGCGGUAAUACGUAGGGGGCGAGCGUUGUCCGGAAUGACUGGGCGUAAAGGGUGUGUAGGUGGUUUGAUAAGUUAGAUGUGUAAUACCCAGGGCUUAACUCGGGUGCUGCAUCUAAAACUGUUAGACUUGAGUACUGGAGAGGAUAGUGGAAUUCCUAGUGUAGCGGUGGAAUGCGUAGAUAUUAGGAGGAACAUCAGUGGCGAAGGCGACUAUCUGGACAGCAACUGACACUGAGGCACGAAAGCGUGGGGAGCAAACAGGAUUAGAAACCCUAGUAGUCC